rnacentral:rRNA from 1 species
CACGUAGGGCGCAAGCGUUGUCCGGAAUUAUUGGGCGUAAAGAGCUCGUAGGCGGUCUGUUACGUCUGCUGUGAAAACCCAGGGCUUAACCCUGGGCUUGCAGUGGAUACGGGCAGACUAGAGGCAGGUAGGGGAGAAUGGAAUCCCCGGUGUAGCGGUGAAAUGCGCAGAUAUCGGGAGGAACACCGGUGGCGAAGGCGGUUCUCUGGGCCUGACCUGACGCUGAGGAGCGAAAGCGUGGGGAGCGAACAGG